GCAUUAAGUAGCUCAGUUUCAGAGCGCCGGUCUUGUAAACCGGACGUCGGAGGUUAAAAUCCCCCCUACUGC
rnacentral:tRNA from 1 species